AGAAAAACAUAUUUGGGAUUUAUUGUUGCCUUCCAGUCUAGAAAAAAUCUUUUGAAAUUUUAUCUUUGUGAGAGGUAAAUUGUGAGGCCUCAGAUAGGUACUCCAUCCUAUGUGGUCACAGGAAUUAAUGGGGCAGCACUGAGGUUCUACUGUGCAGUCAUAAACAGAAUGUUAGAAGCAGGCAGCCUUACUCAUGGCAGAGAUGAGACUUGAUUUGCAGCAAACCAGGAAAGUCUUCUCCUAAAAUGUUUCAAUGACUGUGCCCCAGCAGUCAGAGAAGAGGUUUGAAAACUAUUAGAAAGCCUGAGUACACAUGAUGAGCUACAUUAUUUUGAUGGGGGACUAUCUACUUUGGUGGUUGAAACCAAUGGCAUCAAAGAAUGGGCCUAGCUGAACACACUACUGAUGGGCUUUCAGACAGAGGCAAUACUAUCUGUGGCAUUCCUGGAUCGUCCUUAUAGGUACCAGCCUCUAACUCAAGCAUACAUUCAGCGUGCAAGGAGAAAGUUUUAAGUCCUAUGCCAUUUUUACUCAUGUAUUUGUCAGUUUAGCAAGUAUUAACUUAGUAUUUACUAUGUGCUAAGUGCUGUGAACAAA
rnacentral:lncRNA from 1 species